rnacentral:rRNA from 1 species
UACGUAGGGGGCGAGCGUUGUCCGGAUUCAUUGGGCGUAAAGAGCUCGUAGGCGGUUCGCUAAGUCAGGUGUGAAAUCUCCACGCUCAACGUGGAGGGGCCACCUGAUACUGGCGUGACUCGAGUCCGGUAGGGGAGUGUGGAAUUCCCGGUGUAGCGGUGAAAUGCGCAGAUAUCAGGAAGAACACCUAUGGCGAAGGCAGCUCUCUGGGACGGUACUGACGCUGAGACGCGAAAGCGUGGGGAGCGAACAGG